UGGGCUGCGUGUUGCGCUGC
rnacentral:misc_RNA from 1 species